CCUACGGGGGGCAGCAGUGGGGAAUAUUGGACAAUGGACCAAGAGUCUGAUCCAGCAAUUCUGUGUGCACGAUGAAGUUUUUCGGAAUGUAAAGUGCUUUCAGUUGGGAAGAAAUAAAUGACGGUACCAACAGAAGAAGUGACGGCUAAAUACGUGCCAGCAGCCGCGGUAAUACGUAUGUCACGAGCGUUAUCCGGAUUUAUUGGGCGUAAAGCGCGUCUAGGUGGUUAUGUAAGUCUGAUGUGAAAAUGCAGGGCUCAACUCUGUAUUGCGUUGGAAACUGUAUAACUAGAGUACUGGAGAGGUAAGCGGAACUACAAGUGUAGAGGUGAAAUUCGUAGAUAUUUGUAGGAAUGCCGAUGGGGAAGCCAGCUUACUGGACAGAUACUGACGCUGAAGCGCGAAAGCGUGGGUAGCAAACAGGAUUAGAUACCCCAGUAGUC
rnacentral:rRNA from 1 species